CAAAAUUUUCAUUCUAGAUAAAAUUAAACUUUUUUUUAUAUACAUGAAAAAAAAAAAUUAUUAAAUCAGUAUAAAAAGUUUUUAAUAUAAAAAUAUAUAAAAAGAAAAAAAGUUAACUGAUUAAUUAAGUGCCAGCAAUCGCGGUCAAACUUAAAGUUAAAUUAAUUUAGCGGAAAAUGUAGUUAAAAAAAAGAUAGAAUUAAAUUUUUCUAAUAAAAAGUUAAAUUUUAAUUAGAUUAAAAAUUCAAACAAUUUUUGAAACUACAAAACUCUUAACAAAAAAAGGAUUUGAUACCCUUGUAUAAGAACAAAAAAUUUAUCCUGGGUAAUAAUAAAAUUUUAUAAACUCAAAGAAUAUGGCAGCAUAAAUAAAAUUUAGGGAUACUUGAUUAUUUAAAUUUUGAUAAUCCACAAAUACCUUACUUAAAAAUUGAAUAACUUCUAUAUCUCCGUUUAAGAAAUUAAUAAAAAUUAAAAAACAACUAAAUAUUUUAAAAUAAUAAUUCAGGUCAAGACAGAAUAUUUUAAGAACAAUUGAGUAUCAUUGUAAAUAAAGGUAUAUAAAACACUUUAAAAGUGUAUGUAAGAGAACUUAAAAGUAAUUUUAAUUAAGUAAAUUAAAGUGAAUAAAUAUAUAUAUUUAUGUGUACAAAUCGCCCGUCACUCUCAAUCAAAAUUGAGAUAAGUCGAAACAAAGUAAGUAUAUCGGAAGAUGUCCUUAGAUUUUA